GACGAACGCUGGCGGCGUGCUUAACACAUGCAAGUCGAACGGAAAGGCCCGGCUUUUGUGGGCUGCUCGAGUGGCGAACGGGUGAGUAACACGUGAGUAACCUGCCCCUGACUUUGGGGUAACCUCAGGAAAGUGGGUCUCAUACCGGAUAGGAGCUCCUGCUGCAGGGUGGGGGCUGGAAAGUUUCGGUGGUUGGGGAUGGACACGCGUCGGAUUAGCUCGUUGGUAGGGUAAUGGCCUACCAAGGCGUCGAUGCAUAGCUGGUCUGAGAGGAUGAGCAGCCACACUGGGACUGAGACACGGCCCAGACUCCUACGGGAGGCAGCAGUGGGGAAUAUUGGACAAUGGGCGAAAGCCUGAUCCAGCAAUGCCGCGUGAGUGAUGAAGGCCUUAGGGUUGUAAAGCUCUUUUACCCGGGAUGAUAAUGACAGUACCGGGAGAAUAAGCGCCGGCUAACUCCGUG
rnacentral:rRNA from 1 species